CUCAGGCGGCGCGGCGGCCCGGGCUUCACUCGCCACCUCGCGCCGGGACCAGGAGCGCCGCCGCCGCAGGCACGGGCCGGGGAGAGGCGCUGCGCUCUGGCUGCCCAAUGCUCGGACUAUCUGCCGCCGCUGCCCGUGCAGUAUGCUGGAGCUCCAGAACAGCUAAACGGAGUCGCCACACCGCUGCCUGGGCUGGAUCGCAGCGCUGCCUUUCCUUAUGAAGAAGACACAAACUUGGAUUAUCACUUGUAUUUAUCUUCAGCUGCUCCUAUUUAAUCCUCUUGUCAAAACUAAAGAGAUCUGCGGGAAUCCUGUGACUGAUAAUGUAAAAGACAUCACAAAAUUGGUAGCAAAUCUUCCAAAAGAUUACCUGAUAACCCUCAACUAUGUCACCGGGAUGGAUGUUUUGCCUAGUCAUUGUUGGUUACGCCAGAUGGUAACACAGUUGUCAGUCAGCUUGACUAAUCUUCUGGACAAGUUUUCAAAUAUUUCUGAAGGUUUAAGUAAUUACUCUAUCAUAGACAAACUUGGGAAGAUAGUUGAUGACCUUGUGGAGUGCAUGGAAACCUCAUUUAAGAAUGUGAAAGAAUCCUCUAAGAGGCCUGAACCCAGACUCUUUACUCCUGAAGAAUUCUUUAGAAUUUUUAACAGAUCCAUCGAUGCCUUCAAGGACUUUAUGGUGGCCUCUGAAACUAGUGAUUGUGUGGUUUCGUCAACACUGAGCCCCGAGAAAGAUUCCAGAGUCAGUGUCACAAAACCAUUUAUGUUACCCCCUGUUGCAGCCAGCUCCCUUAAGAAUGACAGCAGUAGCAGUAAUAGCAAGGCUGUAGAUUCCAUCGGUGACCCCAACCUGCAGUGGGCAGCCAUGGCUUUGCCCGCCUUCUUUUCUCUUGUAAUUGGCUUUGCUUUUGGAGCCUUAUACUGGAAGAAGAAACAACCAAAUCUUUCAAGAGCAGGUGAAAAUAUACAGAUUAAUGAAGAAGAUAAUGAGAUAAGUAUGUUGCAAGAAAAAGAGAGAGAGUUUCAAGAAGUGUAAUUGUGGCUCAUAUCAACACUGUUACCUUCGUGCAUUGGAUUGAUAAACAAGGACAAAUGUAAGGAAGGAGAGUGAGGAAGAAGUAAGAAGAAUGCAAAAUACACAUUCAUUUGGGGAUUUUCUGGCAGAUAAAGUGAAGCUAUUGUCUAUAACUAAAAAAAAACACAUAAAGAUGUACAAAUGUUUUACUGGAAAGUUGAAAAAUCUGAUGAAAGCUGAGUGGUUUAACACCAUCACUGAAGAACUAAAACAAAGGUGGUAACAGUUCAUGUUUGCUUCAUAAAUGAAGCAGCUUUAAACCAAUUCCUAUUCUGUCUGAAGCAACAGACCUCAUCUUUAUGUGUUCUUGCUACCCAUGACUUCAUAUGGAUGAUUCAGAACUUGGAACAGAGUGUUUUACUGUGAAAGUGACACUGAAUUAAUCAUCUAUAAAGAAGAACUUGCAUGGAGCAGCAUUCUAUUUUAAGGACUGGAGGGUCUUGUGGUCUCAUUCAGAACUUGUGUGAUGAUGGGAGAGAAAGCACGUGUCCGUACCACUUUGCACGCACCAUUUGCAUGGCUCCAGAAAUGUCUUAGUGCUGAACAACCACACAGCUCUUUACUCUUCAGUUACAAUCUGCAGCCUGUAGUCAUCCCAGUCUCUGCAAGUAGGUUUCAGCCUGGCUAGUGAGGGGAACAACUUUUUCUCAAAGGGAUCUAGAAAACAAUAUGAAAAACAAAAACUCAGAACCAUCAGCCACUGUGGAGUGUGGAAAGCAGUGGGAGCUUAGUGGUGGGAGCAGGUGUGUCAGUGUGGUAGUUGGGGAUUACUGAGAGGAGUCUGACGUUGAUCUCUUCCUGACAUAGACCAGGCACACGUGAGAAAUGGACAUGGUUGGCUGAUUCAGUCUAUGCAGGGGAGUCAGUACUGAAUUAGAACAGUGACACCUUGGGCUAGGGAAACCUCUCCAAAAGAGUCAUCGCAGGAGGAAGCUGUGAACCCUGAUUAGCAGAAUGUGCCAAGGAGGACAUUGACAUCCCUGGCAAAGUCAGCCUUUUGCCAUGGCUACUCUAGAGUGUAUAAAUUGUGUUUGCAAAUUAUAUUAUGACAUGUUUAUACUUUAAAACUAUUACAGAGUUAUGUAACCAGACGUGGGAGAAAAUGCUGAAUGUAUGAUGGUCCCAUUUUCAAUUUCUACCAUGGGAGAGAGUAAAAAUAAAUUAGGAUAUUUAGUAUCUAAGGUUAGAAAAUCACACCCCCAUGCUAAUAUGGGUGUUAAAAACUAGGUUACUUGGCUUUUACAAUAAUGGAAGGAAUCAGGAAACUUUAGUUAUUUAUAGUAUAAUCACCAUUAUCUGUUUAAAGGAACAACUUAUUUAAAAUCAGGCACCCUAUAUUCAUUAGAGUUUAUGAAUUAAAAAUAAAAAGAGAGCUUUAUGUAGUUAUGCAUGUCAGUUUGCUAUUUAAAAUAUGUGACAGCAUUUGUCAUAUUGAGAGUGAAUUUGGCCAGAAUUCCCAAGAUGGACAUUAUACUUUUAAAAUGAAAUGUGUAGCACACAAUUUUAAUUCCCCUUGUCAAUUUUUCAGUAGUCAAAAGAACAUCUUAAUAAAGUCAAAUAGUGACUUUUCUGUAGUUUUAUUUUGAUGCAAAUUCUUUUAACACAUGAAUAAAUACCUAAAGGAAUCCAAAGCCUCUCAUUCAAACCUAAUCUUUAUAAUAACAUUAUUGCCAUGUACUAUAACCAUAAGAUGACCAUUUUUAAUGUUGUUAUACAAAAGGGCAUGAAAAACUAUAUGCUAGCUUUUCUUUGAUUUCAAAUAUCCAAGAAUUUCUAGUAUAGUUGGAUUUUAGCUUAUAUCCAAAGCUAAUCCAAAUACAACUCUGGUUUGUGGCCUUUGCUCUUUUUCAUACCAAAGAGCUCAGAUGAUUUCUAUGGUCUCUUUCUUCUUUAAAGUGCUGUGCUUCCUCCAGCACAAGACAUUUUUCUAAGAAUCAGUACAAAUCAACUGGGAAGCUGCAUUAACUUGUCAGGCCCUCAGAUAUCCCAUGGCACAACUGGUGAGUAAUAAAAUUGGGGAUCAGUUUAAUUGCUGAAAGGACCUAUCUGUGUGUGUGGCAUUGAUUGUCUUGAGGCAAAUAGGCAUAGAUUAACAUGACUUAUAUGUGUAGGUGGUGUAUAGAUUGAGAAGACUGACAGUCUCAGGCUAGUGGUUUGGUUUCUUUAUCCAGUGUUUUCAGUUUGUUUGGGUUUCUGGAAAUGCUGUUUACUGAGCUUGAGAGUAGAAGAAAUACACUUUUGUUCUCAAAGCUAGUAGUUUGGUUUAACACUCAAGAAAAUGCUCUUAAUUAAUAAAUUUAGGAGGUUAUGAAACCUGUCAUGGUAGGGGAGGAGAGAUGUGUCCUGCCUAUUAAAUGUAUCGGUUCACUGAGAGUUACAUGGAUUGGCAAUUUUUAAAACAAUAAAGUGCAUGAAUAAUAGAAAAGUACUGAACAUCAUUUUGGAUGCUAGCUGCUUGGACAUUUAAUUAUAUCAUACUUGCUUUGGAAUAAAAAUAUACAUAUGUCUUUGCUUAUUUGAUCUCAUAUGUGUUCUGAAUGUCCUUUUUCAUAAGUAAUGGGAAACUCACAACUGAGAUGAUGAACCAUGAAAUAACCUUUUAAAUUGGUGCCAUGUAUCCUAUCGUUCUCUUUACAAUGUUUCAAAAUUGCCUUGCAAUUAGAAUGAUCUCAAAAGUUUGUAGAUUCUAAAUUGUACUGAGAGCUUUGCACCUCUGUGGUCAAGACCAAAUGUAUAACAAAACUGGCUCAGUGGUAAACAGGGCCUGCCCAGUAAUCCUGAGAAUUCCCGGAUAACGAAUGAUAAUGUAAGGUGCUUACCACACAGCCACUUUUAAUGAGUCAGGGGAAAAUUGAUUUUUUAACACAGUUUCAGUCUAACUCUUCCUCUUAAAAAGAGUUCACAUAUGUGAAAAAUGAAAAUAUGAGAAAUAUGAGAAAGUAUGUGUCCAUAAUGAAGUAUUUGCUUUUAGUAAGAAUAAAACACAUUUUACUCAGAGAAAUUUUGUAGUACAUUUCAGCACAAAUAAUUCAACUGAAGUUAUAAAUGAACAGAAAAAUCCAUUCUGAAAUCAUGGCUAUUUCCUAAAGUGUUUCUGCAGCUAGGUUUCGGUGUCAACAUUUGAUUCUAAUAUGGGGCACUUAGCCAUUCCAUAUCUGUUCUUCAAGAAAUAGACUCUUCAAAAAGACAGUUUGGCAGAGUGAGAAUGGAUGUUGGGAAAAUUGUCAGAAGCUCUACUCUGCCAUUAAGUAAUGUGGCCGAUCGCCUCUCCUCUUAGAGUCUCAGUUAUUUAUUUAUGAUAAAUUUGGAGGUCACUUCUUGGGAUGAGCCUUUUCUGCUACGUGACUGACAUGCAGAUUAAAAUGCAGCACAGCAGAAAAUGUCCCAUACAAACUAUCCAACUCUGUUCUCUAUGAGUAAGCAUUUUGACCACAAAAAAUUUAUGUUGUUUUUUGUUUCUAAUGUAAAUAGGGUCAAUUAGUAAAAGUGAAAUUCAGUUGCAAGUAGGGCAAAUUAGAUAACCAUUUACACAAGAGGUGGGUUUUACUUUGCUUAAAUAAACAUUUUGGAUCACCUCCGAAGAAAAAAAAUUAGUAGUGUAUUUUAGUGGGGGAAGAUAUACUUUAAGAUGUGUGUGACAUUUGGAAAUGCACCAAAUUAAACAUUUGAAUGUUCUCAUUUUAUUGAAAGCUAAGAACAGAAGCUAUAAGCUACUCAUACAGUUUUUGAAUGCCAAAAGAUAUUUCACAACCAAUUCAUAAAAGGGUAAUCCAUAAAAUAAAUUUUAAAAGUGGAAAGUGGGACAAGAAUUUUAAAGGAAGUCAGAUUACUUUGAACUGAUAGUAUUUUAAAUUUAGCUUUAAAAUAUAACCAUUCAGGUUAAAAUUCAACCACCCAAUUUAUGGUGUUGCUGCCUUUCACUAACUAGUCUUUUAAAAUGACUUUGUAAAUAUAAAACAAUAGUACUUUCAUUUCAUAGUUUUUAAAAUAAUCCAUAUUAAAAUUUAUAUUUAUGAUCCUAAAAUGUUUGCUAAGCAUUGUAAUGUAUAACUCAUCUCCAACUACAUUCUUAUAAUGCUCUUAAAAUAUAAUUAAGAUGAUAAUUGUUUAAACAAAAAACCAUGAUAUUGUCAUUUACUUGAAUUUUGAGAUGCAAGACUCAAUAUAAUUUUCCAAACGAAGUAGCCCUUUCUCCUGUAUUCUAAGCAUUAAUGCGUGGUUAGUAUGUCCACUUGCCACUGUUUUUUAAAUCAAUGGACUUGAAAAGUAUUCAGACAUUUAGAUGGAUGCACAGAUAUAUCGCUCGUUCAGUCAUAGAUCAGAGUUUGCAUAUUGUAAUGUAAAUGUAUGUCAACACUAUUCUAAAUAGUUUUAUUAUGACUGAAGUUUAAUUAAAUAAAAAAGGUUGUAAAAUGUGAUGUGUAUGUGUAUAUACUGUAUGUGUACUUUUUAAAAUAGGUAAAUGUCCUGACCCUUUUUAUACAGGUUUGAAUUUGAAAUUACAUUAUAUAAACAUAUACUUUAUUGUUCUAAAUAAAGAAUUUUAUGCACUCAUAAA